AUCGGGAGUUCACUGUUCACUGAGCUCCAGCCCUCGGCCUUGAGCAGAGACCAGGCAGGUGCGGACUGAAGGCAUGCUGGCCUUGGAAUCCAUCUGAACUUUGCUCUUGGACCAGUGCAAGGCUAGCAGCUACAGCCAGGAUGGACACCAGGCUGGCCUGAGAGCCACAGAGCACGAAGUACAGGAUCCCCCACAGACUGUAAGAAAGGAGAACUGACUGGGUCCCUCUUCUGUUUAAAGACCUUCAAGAGUUCACCUUUAUUCACCAAAGAACACCUAAGCUCCUCAUCCUGGCGCUCGAGCCCGAGCAGGA
rnacentral:lncRNA from 1 species